GACGAACGCUGGCGGCGUGCUUAACACAUGCAAGUCGAACGGAAAGGCCCUGCUUUUGGCUGGUGCUCGAGUGGCGAACGGGUGAGUAACACGUGAGUCGCCUGCCCUUGACUUUGGGAUAACUUCAGGAAACUAGGGCUAAUACCGGAUAGGAGCUCCUGCUGCAUAGUGGGGGUGGGAAAGGUGCGGCGGUUGGGGAUGGACUCGCGGCUUAUCAGCUUGUUGGUGGUGUAGUGGCUUACCAAGGCUUUGAAGGGUAGCCGGCCUGAGAGUGUGACCGGCCACCAUAGGACUGAGAUACGCCACAGACUACAACGGGAGGCAGCAGUGGGAAAUAUUGCACAAUGGGCGGGAGCGUAAGAAAGCAACGCCGCGCGCGGGAUGACGGCCUUCGAGUUAAAAACAGCUUUCGCCUGUGACGAAGCGUGAGUGACGGUACUGGGUAAAGAAGCACCGGCUAACUACGUG
rnacentral:rRNA from 1 species